CACGCCCUCUUCUGCUCGGCCCAGACGCUAACCGGUAAGCAAAGCUCUUCCCCAAAGGACGUUGACUUGUCGAGUUGUUCUUCACCUUCAUGAUCACCGACGAUUGAUCAUGGCCUUUAAUAUCUCUCAACGCCUUUGAUCGUAGAGCUCUGCAAUCAACUCUCUCAAACAUCAAUGAUGACCCCACCAAUAAGAAGAUCACAAACAACAGAAACACAUUCUUCUUCUCCAUCUCUUAUAACUUUUUUAAAAAAACUUCUUUGAGUUCUUUCGCUAGCUUCUUCUUUUCUCUUUCGAUACUUGUUCUCUUUUUUUUCUUUGAGAUUAAGAAGAAUGUCUUCGUGAUUUUAUAUGUAUAUAUGCGAUUGUGUGUGCGUGUGUAAGCGAAGGGCAUUAUUUCUUGACCGAGAAUGUUUGACUAUUUGAUUUUGUGUAUCGCGUUUUUACAUAUUUAAUUGAAGUCUUCAUGUUUUCAAUCUUUUACUAUUUAUAAAUAAGACGGACAAAAUAAUUGACGUGUAUUCAUAUUGCAAGUCGAACGAGUUUCUUCAACUACCACCUCCUUUGGCCACAAG